UGUCACCAGGUACAAACAGCAAUUUGAAGACUUUGAAUCUCCAAGAUGAUGUCCUUGAAAGUUAUUGCCUUAAUCGCUCUUGUAGCUGUUGCCAGUGUCUCGGCUGUUCCGUAUGGUGGUCAUUAUGGCAUGUUUAACGCUCUAGGGGGUGGCAUCUUUCACAAUCCAUUACUAUAUAGCGGUAUGUAUGGAGCCGGGAUGGCCGGUUUUCCAUACAUGAAUGGUGGUAUGUAUGGUGGUAUGUAUGGUGGUAUGUUGGGUGGUAUGUAUGGUAAAUACGGUGGAUACCCUAGCUACGGAUACCCGCUCGGGUAUGCAGGAAAAGGUUACGGUUUGUAUUAAGAACACUGUUUAAGCACGGCUGGAUAUAACGGAAAAAUAACAUAUGAACCUUCUAACGGACUCACGAAAUUGUCAAAUAAAAUUGGAUUGGUA